UACGUAGGGUCCGAGCGUUGUCCGGAAUUAUUGGGCGUAAAGGGCUCGUAGGCGGUUCGUCACGUCGGGAGUGAAAACUCGGAGCUUAACUCCGAGCCUGCUUCCGAUACGGGCAGACUAGAGGUAGGCAGGGGAGAGCGGAACUCCUGGUGUAGCGGUGGAAUGCGCAGAUAUCAGGAAGAACACCGGUGGCGAAGGCGGCUCUCUGGGGCCUUACCUGACGCUGAGGAGCGAAAGCGUGGGGAGCAAACAGG
rnacentral:rRNA from 1 species